CAAGGAAUUUUCGGCAAUGGGCGCAAGCCUGACCGAGCAACGCCGCGUGCGGGAUGACGGCCUUCGGGUUGUAAACCGCUUUUCGGGAGGACGAUUGUGACGGUACUCCCGGAAUCAGGCUCGGCUAACUCUGUGCCAGCAGCCGCGGUAAGACAGAGGAGCCAAGCGUUGUCCGGAUUGACUGGGCGUAAAGCGUACGCAGGCGGCUGGGCGCGUGGGGUGUGAAAGCCGGCGGCUUAACUGCCGGAGGCCACCUCAUACGGCCUGGCUCGAGCCCGGGAGAGGUCCGUGGAAUUGCCGGUGUAGUGGUGAAAUGCGUAGAGAUCGGCAGGAACACCAAGGGAGAAAUCAGCGGACUGGCCCGGUGCUGACGCUCAGGUACGAAAGCGUGGGGAGCGAACUGG
rnacentral:rRNA from 1 species